GACGAACGCUGGCGGCGUGCUUGACACAUGCAAGUCGAACGCUGAAGCUCAGCUUUUGUUGGGUGGAUGAGUGGCGAACGGGUGAGUAACACGUGAGUAACCUGCCCCCUUCUUUGGGAUAACGCCCGGAAACGGGUGCUAAUACUGGAUAUUCACUGGUCUUCGCAUGGGGGUUGGUGGAAAGGGUUUUUCUGGUGGGGGAUGGGCUCGCGGCCUAUCAGCUUGUUGGUGGGGUGAUGGCCUACCAAGGCUUUGACGGGUAGCCGGCCUGAGAGGGUGACCGGUCACAUUGGGACUGAGAUACGGCCCAGACUCCUACGGGAGGCAGCAGUGGGGAAUAUUGCACAAUGGGCGCAAGCCUGAUGCAGCGACGCCGCGUGAGGGAUGGAGGCCUUCGGGUUGUGAACCUCUUUCGCUCAUGGUCAAGCCGCAACAAUGGUUGUGGUGAGGGUAGUGGGUAAAGAAGCGCCGGCUAACUACGU
rnacentral:rRNA from 1 species